rnacentral:rRNA from 1 species
AGUAACGCGUAAAGAACUUGCCUCACAGCUAGGGACAACAUUUGGAAACGAAUGCUAAUACCUAAUAUUAUGAUAAUAGGGCAUCCUAUAAUUAUGAAAGCUAUAAGCGCUGUGAGAGAGCUUUGCGUCCCAUUAGCUAGUUGGAGAGGUAACGGCUCACCAAGGCGAUGAUGGGUAGCCGGCCUGAGAGGGUGAUCGGCCACAAGGGGACUGAGACACGGCCCUU